UACGUAGGGGGCAAGCGUUGUCCGGAUUUAUUGGGCGUAAAGAGCGUGUAGGCGGCCAGACAGGUCAGCUGUGAAAACUCGAGGCUCAACCUCGAGACGUCGGUUGAAACCGUCUGGCUAGAGUCCGGAAGAGGAGAGUGGAAUUCCCGGUGUAGAGGUGAAAUUCGUAGAUAUUGGGAAGAACACCCGUGGCGAAGGCGGCUCUCUGGGACGGUACUGACGCUGAGACGCGAAAGUGUGGGGAGCGAACAGG
rnacentral:rRNA from 1 species